rnacentral:rRNA from 1 species
UACGAAGGAUGCAAGCGUUAUCCGGAUUCAUUGGGUUUAAAGGGAGCGUAGGCGGACUUAUAAGUCAGUGGUGAAAUCUCGCAGCUUAACUGCGAAACUGCCAUUGAUACUGUAGGUCUAGAGUACAGUUGCCGUUGGCGGAAUAUGACAUGUAGUGGUGAAAUACUUAGAUAUGUCAUAGAACACCGAUUGCGAAGGCAGCUAACGAAGCUGUAACUGACGCUGAGGCUCGAAAGUGCGGGGAUCAGACAGG